UAAUUAUCGGGCUACACGCGGGCUACAAUGGUCAGGACAAUGGGUAUCAACACCGAAAGGUGAAGGCAAUCUCCUAAACCUGUCCUUAGUUCGGAUUGUGGGCUGCAACUCGCCCACAUGAAGCUGGAAUCUGUAGUAAUCGCGUCUCAACAUGGCGCGGUGAAUAUGUCCCUGCUCCUU
rnacentral:rRNA from 1 species